UUUCAAUGCGCUUGUCAAUGA
rnacentral:piRNA from 1 species